CGUGUAGGAAGAAAGCCCUAUGGGUGGUAAACUACUUUUAUACAGGAAAAAACACUGGUACGUGUACCAGAUUGACCGGACUGUUCCAAUACAGACCGGCUAACUCUAUGCCAGCCGCCGCGGUAAU
rnacentral:rRNA from 1 species